rnacentral:tRNA from 1 species
GGAGGACGUCUUUUAUUCUUAGUCUUAGGGGUUGAUUAAUCAUUUGGUACUAUUCGUUCAUUCUCUAUAAAAUAUGAAUUUUAUAUAUCUAUCUAACUUACUAACUUAUGGAACUUAUGGAAUUUCUUUUUAAAUAUGCUUUUUUCUUCUUUUAAAGAAAUAUCUUAGAAAAACAACGAAGAUUUUAAAUAUAAAAAGGUCAAAAAUAUGAAGUUGAAGUUAUUAAUUAAUUUGUUUUUUAUUUUAAAAUUUUUUGAAAUUUAAAAGUAAAUCUAAAUUAGAGGGCGGA